UCGUAACAAGGUCUCCGUUGGUGAACCAGCGGAGGGAUCAUUACCGAGUUAUCCAACUCCCAACCCCUGUGAAUUAUACCUUUAAUUGUUGCUUCGGCGGGACUUCGCGCCCGCCGGGGACCCAAACCUUCUGAAUUUUUUAAUAAGUAUCUUCUGAGUGGUUAAAAAAAUGAAUCAAAACUUUCAACAACGGAUCUCUUGGUUCUGGCAUCGAUGAAGAACGCAGCGAAAUGCGAUAAGUAAUGUGAAUUGCAGAAUUCAGUGAAUCAUCGAAUCUUUGAACGCACAUUGCGCCCGUCAGUAUUCUGGCGGGCAUGCCUGUUCGAGCGUCAUUACGCCCCUCAAGUCCCCUGUGGACUUGGUGUUGGGGAUCGGCGAGGCUGGUUUUCCAGCACAGCCGUCCCUUAAAUUAAUUGGCGGUCUCGCCGUGGCCCUCCUCUGCGCAGUAGUAAAACACUCGCAACAGGAGCCCGGCGCGGUCCACUGCCGUAAAACCCCCCAACUUUUUAUAGUUGACCUCGAAUCAGGUAGGACUACCCGCUGAACUUAAGCAUAUAA
rnacentral:rRNA from 1 species